rnacentral:lncRNA from 1 species
CAGAAGAUCUUGUAUGUCUUUUCUGUGGUCUUACUGUGAAAUGUUGAUGAAUGCUGCAAUUGGUUGCAACAUUUGCAGCGCUUAUCCCUACAAGGCUGGCAAUUACCUACAGUAUGGUUAGGUUUGGAAAGGUCAGCACGGACAAGUAUAUUUCUCAGGCUGUUAGGUUGUUUGAAGGCAAUCAUGGGAGGCUCAGGAAAGGUUUUGGAUAACUUGGAAUGUUUCUCGAUUGCCGUCCAAUGAUCACGAAUGGUCUUGAAACUAUUUCUCAGGCAUGGAUAGUAAGUGAGCACACAUGGGAUUCUUUUACUUUUCUUUUUUCUUUGUAAGUUAGCAGACUGCUUCUGGGGAUG